UGGCCUUGACAUACUAAGAACUUUCCAGAGAUGGAUUGGUGCCUUCGGGAACUUAGAUACAGGUGCUGCAUGGCUGUCGUCAGCUCGUGUCGUGAGAUGUUGGGUUAAGUCCGCAACGAGCGCAACCCUUUUCCUUAUUUGCCAGCGGGUAAUGCCGGGAACUUUAAGGAUACUGCCAGUGACAAACUGGAGGAAGGCGGGGACGACGUCAAGUCAUCAUGGCCCUUACGGCCAGGGCUACACACGUGCUACAAUGGUCGGUACAAAGGGUUGCUACCUCGCGAGAGGAUGCUAAUCUCAAAAAGCCGAUCGUAGUCCGGAUCGCAGUCUGCAACUCGACUGCGUGAAGUCGGAAUCGCUAGUAAUCGCGGAUCAGAAUGCCGCGGUGAAUACGUUCCCGGGCCUUGUACACACCGCCCGUCACACCAUGGGAGUUUGUUGCACCAGAAGUAGGUAGUCUAACCGCAGGGAGGACGCUUACCACGGUGUGGCCGAUGACUGGGGUGAAGUCGUAACAAGGUAAGCGUAGAUGA
rnacentral:rRNA from 1 species